AUACGUAGGUGGCGAGCGUUAUCCGGAUUUACUGGGUGUAAAGGGCGCGUAGGCGGGGAAGCAAGUCAGGUGUGAAAUCUAUGGGCUUAACCCAUAAACUGCACUUGAAACUGUUUUUCUUGAGUGCUGGAGAGGUAGACGGAAUUCCUUGUGUAGCGGUGAAAUGCGUAGAUAUAAGGAAGAACACCAGUGGCGAAGGCGGUCUACUGGACAGUAACUGACGCUGAGGCGCGAAAGCGUGGGGAGCAAACAGGAUUAGAUACCCCGGUAGUCCACGCUGUAAACGAUGAAUACUAGGUGUGGGGGGACUGACCCCCUCCGUGCCGCAGUUAACACAAUAAGUAUUCCACCUGGGGAGUACGGCCGCAAGGUUGAAACUCAAAUGAAUUGACGGGG
rnacentral:rRNA from 1 species